CAGGACAGCAAAGGGAAGCAGUUUUAUUGACAUGUAGUUAUAAAUAUAUAUUGACAGAUGCUAUAUGUGUAUGUAUAUAUGUGUGUAUAUAUAUUAUGUAUGUAUAUAUUUUACCUUUUUUAAAAGGAUCUCAUCUACUCCAAGUUAAGGACCCGUGAUCUAAGAUAUUUAUUGCAGAACUGCAUUGGUGGAGAGAGUUUUCCUGUCUGGAGUUCCCUAAAGGUCCCGACCCCUGCAGCCCUCCUCCUGCCCCUCCCCCUUCUUCUCCCCCUAGCAACAACAAGCAGCUCUCCCAGGCCGCUCCCCAGCCUGACGAGCGGACGGCCUUAGGUGAGGUGGGCGGGCUGCGGCAGCAGCGGGGACGCGCGUCGUCCCCCCCCCACCCCGGACGGCGGCAGCAGCGGCGGCGGCGGCGGCGGCGGCGGCGGCGGCGGCGGCGGGGGCGGGGGCGCGGGCCGGGCGCCAGGGUCGCUGUGCUGCCGUGUCCUCCGCCACUGCCUGCGCACGUGGACCCGGGAGCGCACGUGGACCCGGGAGCGGUGGCGGGGCCGCGGGCCGGGGAGCAGCGGGGGCGGGGACUCGUCCAACUGCGGGUCAUGGCGCACGAACUCGUGGAAGAGCGCGUCCGUCUUCUCCUCGAUGCUUUAGUCGCCCCGGGGCGGCGGGGCCCCGGUGGAGGCGGUGAAGGAGUCGGGGGACAAGAAGACGCGCCCGUGCGGGAGCCCGGCCAGCCGCGGGCUGGGCAGCCGCGCCUCGGCCUUGGGCUCGGGCUCCGCCUCCGGCUCGGCCUCGGCCUCCGCCUCCAGCGCAGCCCAGAAGCGGCUGAUCAUGGUGCUGGGCCGGCCGGUACCCUGGAUGCCGAGGCGCUUCCCCGGCUCCCGAUGGGGGCGCGGCCGCUGUCCAUCCGCAGGAACUUCCGGGGCCUCGGCUCGCCGCCGCAGUCCCGGGGCCCGGGCCUGGGCCCAUCCGUCUCCGCCUCCGGCUCCGGCUCCCGCUCCGCUUCCGUCUCUCCCAGCUUGUGAGACUGCGGGAGGUGCCCGGGGCCAUCCCCGGCCGGGCCCGCCUAGUCCCUGCCUCGGACCGGGUCCUGGUGGUGGCCGCUGCCCUGGCUGGACGCCGUGGCGUACUGCUCCAGAGAGCCCCGCAGGCUCCAGACGUCCGGAUACACGGUCUGCUGUUGCUGCUGCUGUUGCUGUUGCUGCUGAACCCCGUGGCCGCCGCCGCUGCCGCCGCGUCUUUCCUGGGGGGGCUCGGGGAUCCCACCGGGGGCUCCCGCUGCUGCUGCUGCUGCUGCCCCCGCCACCUCAGGGGACUCUAGCCUGCAACCGAGCCCGAGCUGCGAGAGGAGCUGCCAGCAAGUGGGUCCAGUGCAGCAUCGUUUUUCCAGGCCGCCAUCCUCUGAGGCAUCGCUAG
rnacentral:lncRNA from 1 species